GAUGAAGAACGCAGCGAAAUGCGAUACGUAAUGUGAAUUGCAGAAUUCAGUGAAUCAUCGAAUCUUUGAACGCAUAUUGCGCUCUUUGGUAUUCCGAAGAGCAUGCUUGUUUGAGUAUCAGUAAACACCUCAAAGCUUUUGGAUUUUUUAAUCGAAAAGCUUUGGACUUGAGCAAUCCCAACACCAAUCUUUUUGAGAUCGGUGGCGGGUUGCUUGAAAUGCAGGUGCAGCUGGACAUUCUCCUGAGCUAAAAGCAUAUUCAUUUAGUCCCGUCAAACGGAUUAUUACUUUUGCUGCAGCUAACAUAAAGGGAGUUUGACCGUAUUGGCUGACUGAUGCAGGAUUUCACAAGGGUCGGCAACGAUUCUUGUUAAACUCGCUCUCAAAUCAAGUAAGACUACCCGCUGAACUUAAGCAUAUCAAUAAGCGGAGGA
rnacentral:misc_RNA from 1 species